UUUCCGUAGGUGAACCUGCGGAAGGAUCAUUAUUGGAUAACCGAGGCGCGAGGACUGCUGCUGACCCGAAUGUACGUACACGCCCGCGUGCCCUCUCACACAUCCAUCUCACCCCUACGUGCACCACCGCGCGGGUCCCCCUCUGGCUUGUUCGGAGGGGGUCUUCUGGUUUCCCACGAACUUUGUAUGAAGUGAAGAAUGUAAUCUUUGUUUUUGCGAUUACGCGAUCCAUACAACUUUACACAACGGAUCACUUGGCUCCCGCAUAGAUGAAGAACC
rnacentral:misc_RNA from 1 species